CAAUAGCGUAUAUUAAAGUUGUUGCAGUUAAAAAGCUCGUAGUCGAAUUUCUUGGCGCAGCGCAGCGUCCGGCAGCUCUGCUGCUGUGUACGCCCGCGUUCUGCGCCAAUCCUUGUAGAGAGUGUAGCUGGCAUUAACUUGUUGGCUUCAGGAUCUGCAUCGUUUACUGUGAAAAAAUUAGAGUGUUUAAAGCAGGCAUUUUGCUGUGAAUACAUUAGCAUGGAAUAAUAAGAUAGGACUUUGGUGCUAUUUUGUUGGUUUGCACACCAAGGUAAUGAUGAAUAGGGACAGUUGGGGGUAUUCAUAUUUAAUUGUCAGAGGUGAAAUUCUUGGAUUACUGAAAGAUGAACUUAUGCGAAAGCAUUUACCAAGGAUGUUUUCAUUGA
rnacentral:rRNA from 1 species